AUUGUGAGAGUGCAAACACACAGAAGCCAGCUGGGGAUCCUUGCAUCCCUGUGGAGAUGGGGAUGAGCCUUCAGAAUGCCUCUAUGGCCUGCUGAGGCUGUGACACAGCUGUGGAAGGCCACAGGGCCUCUCCUACCCCCACACCCAGGCAAUGUCACAUCGAGUCUUUGGCACGUGCUGUUUGUUUGAGCUGAGCUUUGAGGUUCGUGGCUCUUGCACUACACCAUGCUCCCAGUCCCAUCUUCUGGCCUGUGGUGACCAGCUUUGGUUCUUCUGCAAAAAUGGCCAGCAUUGUCCCUGAAGGACCAUCCAGGAGCCCCCAAACCAGCCCAGGAAUGACACAACUGACACAGCUUUUGCUCCUUAGACAGAGGAGUGGGGGAAAACGGCCUCAGCAUAACAUCCCCAGAACUGUCACAGCAGCACAGCCCCUGCCUGGUGGUGCCUUGCCCAAACACAGAGGUUUGUUACUCCAUCAAACACACCUCAGAUCUUCACCUCAGCCUCGAGCCCUGCGUGGAGCACCUCUGAGCUCAGGGACUUGUUCAUGAUCCACUAGAGCUUUCCUCCUCUGCCCCUUCCUCACCACCCCAACCCUUGUGAAAUUCAAGAGCAUGUAGCACAUCUCAGGAUGAGCCUCACAACUGA